UUUUAUCUUCAGGUGAAGAGGCCUGUAUAAAAUUANNNNNNNAGAAGACCCUAUCGAGCUUUAAAGAAAUUGAUAGGUCAUUAAAUUAAUAAAGUUAAAAAAUUUUCUAUUAAAAAUUUUAGUUGGGGCGACCGAGGAACAAGAAAAGCUUCCUUUAGAAUUUAAAUAUCUACAAAUAUAGAUCCAAAAUUUUUUGACUAAAGAAAUUAGUUACCGUAGGGAUAACAGCAUUAUCUUUUUUGAGAGCUCCUAUCGAAAAAAAGGUUUGUGACCUCGAUGUUGGACCAGAAUAUCCUAAAGAUGCAGCAGUCUUUAAAGGUUGGUCUGUUCGACCAUUAAAAUUCUACG
rnacentral:rRNA from 1 species